rnacentral:rRNA from 1 species
UAUUACAAUGAAGAGUUUGAUCCUGGCUCAGGAUGAACGCUAGCUACAGGCUUAACACAUGCAAGUCGAGGGGCAGCAUGGUCUUAGCUUGCUAAGGCCGAUGGCGACCGGCGCACGGGUGAGUAACACGUAUCCAACCUGCCGUCUACUCUUGGACAGCCUUCUGAAAGGAAGAUUAAUACAAGAUGGCAUCAUGAGUCCGCAUGUUCACAUGAUUAAAGGUAUUCCGGUAGACGAUGGGGAUGCGUUCCAUUAGAUAGUAGGCGGGGUAACGGCCCACCUAGUCUUCGAUGGAUAGGGGUUCUGAGAGGAAGGUCCCCCACAUUGGAACUGAGACACGGUCCAAACUCCUACGGGAGGCAGCAGUGAGGAAUAUUGGUCAAUGGGCGAGAGCCUGAACCAGCCAAGUAGCGUGAAGGAUGACUGCCCUAUGGGUUGUAAACUUCUUUUAUAAAGGAAUAAAGUCGGGUAUGUAUACCCGUUUGCAUGUACUUUAUGAAUAAGGAUCGGCUAACUCCGUGCCAGCAGCCGCGGUAAUACGGAGGAUCCGAGCGUUAUCCGGAUUUAUUGGGUUUAAAGGGAGCGUAGAUGGAUGUUUAAGUCAGUUGUGAAAGUUUGCGGCUCAACCGUAAAAUUGCAGUUGAUACUGGAUAUCUUGAGUGCAGUUGAGGCAGGCGGAAUUCGUGGUGUAGCGGUGAAAUGCU